AAAAAGAAGAACGCGGCUCGUUUCCCAACGGAACGAGCUUGUGUCGACCUUCCCCGUCUCCCGACGGGGGGAAGGAACGGGCUUCGUCGCUUGUUCCUUUCGUCCUUCCCGGUUUUUCCCGGGAUGUGACACCCCUUUUGAACGUUCAAGUACGCUUCUGAGUCUUGGGUCCCGCGAAAACGGGGCCUGAAAGGGGAAACCCGAAACUGAAAAA
rnacentral:misc_RNA from 1 species